rnacentral:lncRNA from 1 species
UCCAUCUCCCCAUCUUCCCAUCUCCCCAUCUCCCCACCACCCAUCACCCCACCUCCCCAUCACCCCACCUCCCCAUCACCCCGUCUCCCCAUCACCCCAUCUCCCCAUCACCGCAUCUCCCCACCUCCCCAUCACCCCGUCUCCCCAUCUCCCCAGCCCAGCCUUCCUCUUCUCUCCCUCAGAGGUGUCCAUGCAGCCUCUCCUUCCUGUGGGCCUCCCCCAGGAGACCAGCGGAGAGCUAAUUACUGUUUUCUCUUCUCCAGGCCCUGUGGCUCUGCCAGACGAGGCUCCCCUUCUGUCAGGCCCACGAUCCUCCGCGGGGACCUGGAGGUGGCCCAGGCACGUAUCUCUGUCUCCCUAGUUACCGCGGGCCCCCAUCCAGGACACUCCCACCCGCCUCGUGGCUCCAAUGCCUCCGCUGCUCACCUGUGCUUCCGGUUUCAGGAUGGGACACAGCAGCCCAGGAAAUUCUCCUGAGACUGAUUCCUGCCGGCUUCCCUGUUCUCUGGAAUGACUGCUCAUCCCGUGCUGGGGACCGUCUCCUUUGUCUUCUCCAGGCCGUGUUCCUUGCUCAAGAUGGAUUGCUGGCUGGAAAAUGAGCAGAUCUGAUGGCAGGGCUUGGAAAUAAGAACCCAAGUUCUGCCCAAAGCCUAAGACAUCUAUCUGCACACGCCCAGCUUCUCUGGGAAGCCAGUUACGUAUCGGCACAAGGCUGAGGUGCCCGGGGCCACUGUGGACUCUCUGAUGCUGUCUGCAACUGGUCUCUCCAUCCUAAUCACAGGGAAGACAGUUUAGGAGGUGACGCAAUACUGCUGUAGCAGCCCUUGGACAACUUGCCUUCUUCCAAAACCCUCCUGGGCCAAGCUUUCCCGUUCGCACGCUGAAAUAUUAGAUGUUCAGCUGGGAGUCCAACAGCAAAAUAUUUCUGAAAUUGUGCGUGUGUGUGUGUGUUUCUUUCUUUCUUUUUUUUCCUUCUAAUUUAAUGUGCCAGACAAGCCUCCCGGUAAUUAAAACCAGAAACAAGGACCAGACUUAGAGAUUUGAAGGCUGUAAAAUUCUAGGACAGGUUUAUGUAAAGCAAUUAAAAAGGGAGUUAAAAAUUGUUAAAAAAUUAAACACUAAUUACUUUUUUUUCUCCUCUCAUUUCUGCUGAGCUGUUUUGGCCGUGGAGCUCGAAGAAAGAUAUAAAAAGGAGAAAGUUUUGCCUCGUUGCUGUAAAUCAUGUUCAGCAAAUGCGCCUCUGCAGUUUGCAGCCGAACCCAUCUGCUGUCAAUUAACCUAAAUCAUGCCUUUUCAAUUAAACUGGCUUAGGGAAGUCUGGUAGCAAAACGGGUGUGUGUGUGUGUGUGUGUGUUUGUGUGUGUGUGUGUGUGCGGCCAGCGUGGUGGUGGUGGAGGAUGGGAGAAAGGUGAUGUCUGAUUUCAGACUGCGAGGUGGA